rnacentral:rRNA from 1 species
CUCUGUCGCUCCGCGGCAACGGCGAAUUGUAGUUUCGAGAAGCACUUUCUCGGUGGAUCGGACGCGCCUAAGUUGCUUGGAACAGCACGUCGCAGAGGGUGACAACCCCGUCCGUGGUAGCGCCCGGCCGCUUACGAUGUGCUUUCGCAGAGUCGCGUUGUUUGGGAUUGCAGCCCAAAACGGGUGGUAGACUUCACCUAAAGCUAAAUAUCGGCGCGAGACCGAUAGUGAACAAGUACCGUGAGGGAAAGU